UCCCCUCUGCUCUAGGUAGACAUCAAGCCGAAUGUAUAAAACUGAAGAAAGAGAUUGAAAUGAUAAAAAUGUGUUUUUGUAUGCGGUAAGGUUUUUUUUCUUCUUCCACACAGAUUCUGUGACUGCCAGACCCAACUGUUACUGGGGACGCAACUGUCGGACUCAAGUCAAAGCACACCACGCUUUGAAAUUCAACCACGUGUGUGAGCAGACGCGUUUUAAGAACUAAAGCUGGAGGACCGUGGCUUGAUUUGACAGCAGUCUCCGCUUCUGGGUAACUGAUCUGCUGUGGACACGUGCUAUACCUCUGUACUCCUCUAGAUGGCAACUUUACAUAUGCAAAGUCAAUCAGAUGAUGAUAAAUCAAUCCUCCGUGAGGACUGACCGUCACACUUUCAGUAUGCACACUUCUUUCCACUAUGCUAUUGACAUGCUUUCAUGCUGCAUCUCUGCUUAUAAUUGUGAAACAAGAAAACAUUGGCAAUCACCUUUUCAUGCAAAAAGCUCUUUAGCUUGAACCUUAUACAAUAUACAAAAUAUAAAACUAACCCAUAGUGCCUAAGAGUCAACUCUUUCUUUGCAUACUUCUUCCCUUUUAAUGUUCGCUCGGUGAAAAUAAUGCUCUUUCACUAUUAUCAUUAACUGCUCAAGACAUUUAAAUGCUACUGAGAAUGUUGAAAAUGUAUGUUAGAAAAAGGGAUGAUUGUGUUGGUGACUCACAACCAGUGCACUAAACUUUCACACAUUUAGGUAUUCAGCAUUUGCAUUUUUUUUCUUCAUUAUUAGGGUAGUAAACUGUGAAGAAAAGGUUGCAAAGCUAUUCUGAAGGCAUAUGAGAGUUUUUUUCAUUUUUUUUUUAUUGCACUGCAAGGGAUAAUCAAGUCGAAUCUGAUUUAUAAUAAAGGCUUAGAUGUUUUCGUACAUCUUGUUAUGAUUAUGGAAUUUUUGCUUUUGGCUCAUGUUCAUAUGCAAACAAGGUCCGUUUUUAGCAGUGGAUGAUGCUGUUCCCAGCGUUUCCUGUGUAUUUAAGAUAUUUAGUUUUCUUUCACUUGUAGGAUCGGUGAUAUAAUAGGUAGAUGGUAUGGCCAUAUAAUAGCUGUUUAAAUCUUUCAAUAUUUUCUGACUAGGCUAGAGCUGUAUUUCUGAGCUAGUAAAUAAGAUUUUAAGUGUUUUUUUCCAUUUCUUAUUCCCAUCUUCCCCAUGAAGUUUUAUUUCAGUUGGUGUAUAUUUUGUAACACUCAGCUGAUUCUUGUUUAACUUGGUAAACCACAUUGGUUUUAGCCAUAGUUUUUCCAACUAGUUUUUUUAAUAAGUUUAAUAAACUGAGAAAGCCAGUGUGAUCCAUGAAACCAUUACCACAGUCAGUGUUUAAAAUGUGGCGUUAAGCAUCAAAGCCACAUGGAAAUUCUAAGUUAAGAACAUUUUACCCUUUUCUUUUUUUGGGGGGUUAAUAAAAACAUUGAAAGCAUAAAACGAUAUUUGUACCCUUUUCGGAUACCUGAAAGUAGGUGCAUGCUAUAUCUCAGUUCAUUGUAAUGUUUGCAAACAUUUCCAAAAAUCUUUAACAUUUUACAUUACUGUUAGGUUGAACAUAAAGUAUUGUUGAAAAUCUAUUUGCUUUUUUGCCUUGUGCAUGUUUUUGGGGUCUGUUGUUCCUCACACCACAGCAUUCUUCAGAGGCUCAGAUUAGACUUCCUACAACUACAGAGGUCAAUCCUAUACAUCCCUCA
rnacentral:lncRNA from 1 species